rnacentral:pre_miRNA from 1 species
AGAAAAGUCAUGACAUAUUUUUCUGUUUUUCUAUACAAAAAUAUGUCGUGCCUUUUCUGA